rnacentral:rRNA from 1 species
CUCGGGAGGCGCUUGCCACGGUGUGGCCGAUGACUGGGGUGAAGUCGUAACAAGGUAGCCGUAUCGGAAGGUGCGGCUGGAUCACCUCCUUUU